UCUACACUUUAUUAGAGAGACGCAUUUAUUAGAUAAAAAGCCAAUGCAUGCUUUUACAGUAUGGAAAUUGGUGAUUUAUAAUAACUUGGCAAAUCGCAAAGUGAAAACAGGCGAUAAAUCAUUCAAGUUUCUGACCUAUCAGCUUUCGACGGUAUGGUAUUGGCUUACCGUGGCAGUGACGGUUAACGGGGGAUUAGGGUUCGAUUCCGGAGAGGGAGCCUGAGAAACGGCUACCACAUCUAAGGAAGGCAGCAGGCGCGCAAAUUACCCAAUUCUAACAGUUUGAGAGAGGUAGUAACAAGAAAUAACAAUACAAGGCAAUUAAAAUGCUUUGUAAUUGGAAUGAUAGAAAUUUAAACCCUUUUUAAAGUAUCAAUUGGAGGGCAAGUCUGGUGCCAGCAGCCGCGGUAAUUCCAGCUCCAAUAGCGUAUAUUAAAAUUGUUGCAGUUAAAAAGCUCGUAGUUGAAGUUCUGCUAAAAGUAACCGGUCUGCUUUUAAUAAAAGUGGUAUCUUGGUGUGUAUUUAGCAAUGAUGUCCUUUGAAGUGUUUUUUACUUUAUUGUA
rnacentral:rRNA from 1 species